rnacentral:rRNA from 1 species
UACGAAGGGGGCUAGCGUUGCUCGGAAUUACUGGGCGUAAAGGGCGCGUAGGCGGUCCGAUAAGUCCUGUGUGAAAUCCCUCGGCUCAACUGAGGAACUGCACGGGAGACUGUCGGGCUUGAGUUCGGGAGAGGGAAGCGGAAUUCCGGGUGUAGCGGUGAAAUGCGUAGAUAUCCGGAGGAACACCGGUGGCGAAGGCGGCUUCCUGGACCGACACUGACGCUGAGGCGCGAAAGCGUGGGGAGCGAACAGG